UACGGAGGGGGCUAGCGUUGUUCGGAAUUACUGGGCGUAAAGCGCGCGUAGGCGGACCUGCAAGUCGGUGGUGAAAGCCCGAGGCUCAACCUCGGAACUGCCUUCGAUACUGCGGGUCUCGAGUCCGGGAGAGGUGAGUGGAAUUCCUAGUGUAGCGGUGAAAUGCGUAGAUAUUGGGAGGAACACCAGUGGCGAAGGCGGCUCACUGGACCGGUACUGACGCUGAUGCGCGAAAGCGUGGGGAGCAAACAGG
rnacentral:rRNA from 1 species